ACCAUGAUGCGCGAUGAAAUAGUGUUCUUUCGCAGCG
rnacentral:sRNA from 1 species